rnacentral:snRNA from 1 species
GAAUGUGAGGGAGGUCUGGCUGUGAAUGUCUGUCACCCCACUGAUUUCUAGGGCUGAUUAGG